GACGAACGCUGGCGGCGUGCCUAAUACAUGCAAGUAGAACGCUGAAGGAGGAGCUUGCUUCUCUGGAUGAGUUGCGAACGGGUGAGUAACGCGUAGGUAACCUGCCUGGUAGCGGGGGAUAACUAUUGGAAACGAUAGCUAAUACCGCAUAAUAGCAGUUGUUGCAUGACAACUGUUUGAAAGAUGCAAUUGCACCACUACCAGAUGGACCUGCGUUGUAUUAGCUAGUUGGUGGGGUAACGGCUCACCAAGGCGACGAUACAUAGCCGACCUGAGAGGGUGAUCGGCCACACUGGGACUGAGACACGGCCCAGACUCCUACGGGAGGCAGCAGUAGGGAAUCUUCGGCAAUGGACGGAAGUCUGACCGAGCAACGCCGCGUGAGUGAAGAAGGUUUUCGGAUCGUAAAGCUCUGUUGUAAGAGAAGAACGAGUGUGAGAGUGGAAAGUUCACACUGUGACGGUAUCUUACCAGAAAGGGACGGCUAACUACGUG
rnacentral:rRNA from 1 species